AAGGUGUACAAGCUUGCUUGCAUACACCUUUCGGCAUUUGGCAGGCAAGAUGACAUGAGUAAGCGGACGGUAGGACAGCUUACGAAUGUCAGCGGGGAUUGCGGGAGUGCAAUAGCACGGAGCAAUUGGC
rnacentral:sRNA from 1 species